CAGCCGUAAACUAUGCGCGUUAGGUGUACUGGUGACCACGAGUCACCGGGGUGCCGAAGGGAAACCGUGAAACGUGCCGCCUGGGAAGUACGGUCGCAAGGCUGAAACUUAAAGGAAUUGGCGGGGGGAGGCACCACAACGGGUGGAGCCUGCGGUUUAAUUUGGACUCAACGCCGGAAAUCUCAUCGGAUAGGACAGACAUAUGAUAGUCGGGCUGAAGACUCUACUUGAUGAUCUGAGAGGUGGUGCAUGGCGUCAGUGACU
rnacentral:rRNA from 1 species